GGGUGAGUAAUAUAUAGGUAAUGUACCUCUUAGUCUGGGAUAGCCACUGGAAACGGUGAUUAAUACCGGAUACUCCUUUUCAUUUCAAGAUGAAUCGGGAAAGUUUUUCGCUAAGAGAUCGGCCCAUGUCCCAUUAGCUAGUUGGCGGGGUAAAAGCCCACCAAGGCUACGAUGGGUAGCUGGUCUGAGAGGACGAUCAGCCACACUGGAACUGAGACACGGUCCAGACUCC
rnacentral:rRNA from 1 species